rnacentral:lncRNA from 1 species
CGCGGCAGCCCGUGGAGUCGGCUGAGGGAAAAGCGAGGCAAGGCAGGCGGAUCCUUUCAAUAUACACUUCCAGAAAAAGGGAAGCCCCGUGGUGGCCCUUGAAAAGUAAAAGGAAGUUGGGAAGUGAAUGAAGUGAGGUCGUCAAAGUCCUACAUUUUAGCUUUCAGUGCUGAACUUCCUUCUCCCUUAAAUUAUUAUAAACUUUUGCUGCUGUUUAAUAAACGUGAAGAUGUCUCGCAGUCCUGAUGCGAAGGAAGACCCUGUGGAGUGCCCUCUUUGCAUGGAGCCCUUGGAGAUAGAUGAUAUCAACUUUUUCCCUUGCACCUGUGGCUACCAGAUUUGCCGAUUUUGUUGGCAUCGAAUUCGCACUGAUGAAAAUGGGCUUUGUCCUGCAUGUAGAAAGCCAUAUCCAGAAGACCCAGCAGUUUAUAAACCACUCUCCCAGGAAGAGCUGCAAAGGAUAAAGAAUGAGAAAAAACAG